rnacentral:lncRNA from 1 species
ACAAAUCAAAGGCCGCAAAUCACCGAUCACACCGCCACGACGAUUAGAUUCUAUCAAUUGGCGUCAGCAAUAAUACGACUUCACUUUGAUCCCGAAACCCUAACCCGUUGCUCGAUCUCUAUCUCGGUGGAAAGGAUGAGUGAAAAAGGCGGUAAAAACAGGGCCUCUCCGACCACUGGCAAACCAUUGCCGCCAAACUAUUAAUACGGUACGUUUCAAGGAGUGGCCAAUAAUCCUGUAUCUGUCAAAAUCUGACCAAUGUGGUUGUUGCAUUUUAUGGAAUGACAAGGGUCGACCAAGCCGUAAUGACACCCACAGGGCAAGAUAGCAAAGAACACCUCGGUUAUUGCCGGGUUCAAACCGUCUAAAAGCUUAUAUCACAGAUUGAGCGUAGUGUUAGGGCGAAGGGUGAAGAAUACGAUCAUAAGAAAGUACGCUAGUCAAGGAC